AGGAGUUCUGGUGGGGCCAUGUGAAUAGUAAUUCCAGGGAAAAAAUCACCCCGCACCUCCGCUCCCCUUCCUCCCCAUUCUUUUCGCAGGCGACGGGAGCGAGGCGGGGCAAUUGCGGCGCUGAUUCAUCGUCAAAGGAAGGCCAAUCAUGGGCGCAGCUCGCCGGCGACCACGGAGGUAACCACCGCACCACCGGCUACUUUUUUCGCAUUCGAUUUCGACGUUAUUUCAUGGCACAGAGCGGGGCAAUCGGGAUCUACGUUUUCGACGCGGGGUGUUCCGGUGGUGUCGCCGGUGAUGCGCACGAGCAUGGGAGGUGGACGAUUGACCCGUACGGCAUCCACGCCGGACGAGCGGCCCCUGUGAGAGAUGUGUGCUGAAAUUGAGGGUGUGGGUGGUUGCGAAGAGGCCGUGGGUCAAUUGUGGUACAGCCAGAGCUGGGCUCCUUCGCUGUGAGCGCCGUGGCCGGGAGGAGCUUCCUCGCCACUAUUCCUUGGCGAGUAACGUAGAGAAUAGUUCCAAACAAUAAUGGGCCAGCUGCUUGUUUCCAUUGCUUCGUCUUCCAGCUGGGAUUGGAGGAACAACAGUCUCCAUCAUCAGCCUAGUUAUUAGUCUCUUCUACGUUUGUGACAAAUCCUUUUGAUGUUCUGACUUUGUUGUGUUGUUCCAAACUAUAAUGUAUGAAACCCACUUGUUUUCCUGAAAAUCAAGAGUGGUAAAAAUUCAUAAAAAAUAUGCAGGAUUGGAAGUUCAGAACAGUCCAUUUGUUGCAGUUGCAGGUUACUGGUAAUUUCUUUCACCCGCAAAAAAAAAGGGUUACUGGUAGAAAUCAGCAUCUCAAGUUUGAAAUUGUGUAAGCGUAAUGAGGCACAAAAGCUAUUAACCAGCAUUGGACAAAUUAAUGAGGGAGAGAGAGAGAGAUUUGUACUACAUGCCAUCUGCUUGGUGCCAGGCGGAAGGAUGAAUUAGUCCUCACCAUAGAAAUCGACACUAUUCCUCGCUGCUAUUUUUUCAGACAGUUUUUGUUUUUGACAUAUCUCACACAACAGGAGGUAGCCGCAGUGGCUUAGCCAGCCCCGAGACAAUGGGUGUACCUAUUUCCCUAAAAUUCAGAAUACUAGAGUUUUAAAUUUAUUUGAUGCAUAUAGGAUACUAUACAUGCGUCGUCAACGUUUUUGCAAAAUUAAUGGGUGUCCAUUUGUACAUACACCCAAAAAGACAUUUAGUUCCACCAAUGGGUACCCGUGGUUUUUUUAGAUAUCCUUUUUGAUAAAAUGCUUUUCUUUUGAUUUCAUUCAGAUAUCAUGCAUGUUUUUUUGACACUUUGUUAUUCAAAAACCAGGCUGCUCCAUCGACCAGCACUGUCGGAUGUAAGUGUUGUUGAACGGAACGAAACUCGAACCGUGGCACACACGUAUAAGAGCGCACAAAAGAUGAAGUUGAUGAAGUUAAAUAAGGAAGACAAGCAAAAUGGAAUUUUAUGGAAGGUUGCUCCAGUUUUUAACAUGGUUGCCUGGAAUUACAGGGAAAGAUGCUUUAAUUUUUACAGAAUUGAUAGGGGCUUCUUCCAGUUUUCUUCAGUCUACCAUCUUUAUUUUGUAUCAUUCCCAGACUGAUUCUUACUGUUAGGGAACUGUUCGCAACUAGUUGCUCCUGUUUUUAUCACGAGUUGCCUACAAUUACAAUUAGAGUUGCUUCGGUUUUUUAGUGAUGCAGGAAAUGGUGAUUUAUGGGCCUAACUUAUUACCAUUGCAAAUUGAUUGGGUAGUUUUAUUCC
rnacentral:lncRNA from 1 species